UGCAACCAGAAACAAAGAUGCCAUUUCAUACUGGCUGAGAGAAACACGUUUCUUCCCCAAUCCUGAUGUUGACUUUAAAAAGGAAGAUUGCCCUAAAUAUUCACAGCCUCUUGUCUUACCCUUCCCCCUCCCCAUGGAGAUGGAAUGAGUUACCUAGUUGGGGGGGUCUUUGGCCCAUGUUUUUCUGCUGGGUGGAACUUAUCUAAAAAAGAUCCUGAAUGCAAGGAGUUUGGUCUCUUUUGCUCUCCCUCGCCACCUAAACCAGCACGAUCCAGCAGCCCAGCAUCCUCAAAUAGAGCACGAUAAGAUGAGACUCGAAGACUCAAGACGUGGCAGUGACAUUUUUGUAAAAGGUGAAAGACAGAAAGUAAAAGUUCACAGACAACUGAGAAAUGUUGAAAAUUUCUCCCAGCGUUGGAUAUUGUAUCAAUGAAGAACUGCCAUCAGACAACAUUGCAACAGGUUGCCUGCAGGAAAAUGAAAACAGAACUGUAGGAUUUGAUGCACCUCUGUGAUUCCUCUUGGCAGCAGAUUUUGCCUCUUUCUCAGACCAAAAAUAUCAGGGUGAGACCCAGAGAGCUGCCUGAGAGACCAACAAACCAUAUGGGACUAUAAGCUGCGAAGAACCAACGUGGACUUCGAUUUAGUGCAGAAGUGCUGCCACAUCUGUGGGUGAGCCCGGGAUGUUUCUGUUCUUAAGGAGCCCAGACACCAUCUAACCUGAGACCACCUCCCGCAAACUGCCCCCCACCAUGAACUUCUAAAUUCUUCGUCUUUUCUGACAAAUUUCACACUCAUUUUAGUUAGUACUUAAAGUUAAAAUACAACAUUUAUGUGUGGUUGGGUCCAUUGCUGCAUGAUUUAUAAUUCUCAAAGACUAGGGGGAGGUGAGCUAUGCAAUAAAGGGAAAUUGGCUAAAUAAAUUAUAGCAUGCCUACAUCCUGGGAUACAGGCAGCCUUUAAAGAGGUUCUUGGAGAAUAUUUAAGUUCAUGAUAUAGAUAGAUAGAUAGAUAGAUAGAUAGAUAGAUAGAUAGACAUAGAUAUAAAUAUAUAGAGAUGUAGAUAUAAAUUAGCAUAUAAUAUAUAUAAAAUUAGUGUCAAACAUUUCAUAUUUUACCCUUUAGAGUUGUCCUUAAGAAAAUACAACCACUCUAAAAACAGAGCUGAAUGUACUCGAUAAAGGAUUUCUCCUUUCGUGUCAGUUUGGAGAAGUUACAACCAUCCUAAAUCUCAAUAAGAGAGCCUUGUGCAGGACUGACAGCAGGGUUAUCAUCUACAGCAGACACUUCAGAAAACUUUAAAACUUUCUCUCCUUCUUUGCCCUGAAAGAGCAACCAAUGAGUAACUCAGAUAACACCAUCUAAGAGUUCAGGAAAUUUUAACUCAUAAAACAUUGUUAAAUGAAAAAAAAAAAUCAUGCUACAGUUUGUACAGUAAGAUCCCCAUUCUAUAAAAAAUAACAAAAGAAAAACUUUACGUACUUGUGUCUGAAGAUAUAUGCAUAUGAAAAAGUCUGAAAAGGAGAGCACAAAUGGACCCCACAGUGGACACCUUUUUUCCGUGUUGAUGCCAUCUCUGAACUUAGGGACUUGUAGAGGGUAGAAAGAUCCAGAAAAACACAACAGAAAAGCCAAACACAACCCAGGGAGGAGCUGAGUAGAGAACAGGGUGCUGGCAGACACUGGUUCAGGGCAUUUGGGGCCUAAUAGGCCUGGGUUCAAAUUCAGACCUGUCACUUACCAGGUGAUACUGUGGGCAAGCUACUUUUCUCUCUAAGCUGCAAUGUCUUCAUCUGGAAAAUAGGGUUUAUAAUGCCCACCUUGCAGUGCUAUCUGAGCAUAAAAGCACUAAUAUUGUAAAAUGUUUAGCAAAAUGGCUGGCAUAGAGGCAGGGCUCAGUCAGUGGGAGUAGGGUUUUUAAAAACCAACUUCAUUGAGGUGUAAUUUGCAUACAAUAAAAUGCACCAGGCCCCACAAAUCAUGUAGCUGUAGCCUGUCCUACCAUCACCAUAGAUUAGAUUUGCCUUUUCAAUGGUUUGAUAUGAAUGGAAUCAUAAGGAUGUGCUUCUUUCACUUGGCCUAAUGUUUUUGAGAUUCACCUAUGUUGUUGCCUGUACCAUCAGCUUAAUUCCUAACAGCCCCAAACUGGCAGCUCUCUCAAUGUCUAUCAGCAGGUGCAUGGUGUGUAGUAAAGAAUUAACCAGAGACAUGUCUGGCCUUUGCUUUCGGCUACUGGGAGGGGAUCUGUAGGCCCCUGGGAUGUCCUGCCUCCUAGAACUGUCUUUGUUUUCCUGGGGGCUCGGUCACCCAACAGUCUAACAAUGUGAUCUAUGAGGUGGGUUGGGACACACCACGUCAGCUCCAACCUCUGGGAGCAGCUGGAGACUGAAGGUCAGCCAUAUGGGCACUAUGUGAUCAAGCCUCAGUAAAAACUCUGGACACCAAAGUGCAGGUAAGCUUCCUGGUUUAGCAAUAUUCUGUGCAUUUUGUCACACAUUGAUGCCAGGAGGGUAACACAUCCCUGAGGACAUGGGAACUUCAUGUUUGAAGCCCUCCCAGAUUCUGCCGUAUGUGCUGGCACCUUUGGCUGGUUCUAAUUUGUAUCCCUUUGUUAUAAUAAAAUUGUGAUUCUAAGUAUA